rnacentral:tRNA from 1 species
UAAGAAAUUUAGGUUAACAUUAAACCAAGAGCCUUCAAAGCUCAAAAUAUGGGUGAAAUCCCCCUAAUUUC